GUUAACCGUAUAGGGGAGCCGCAGGGAAACCGAGUCUUAACCGGGCGUUAAGUUGCAGGGUAUAGACCCGAAACCCGGUGAUCUAGCCAUGGGCAGGUUGAAGGUUGGGUAACACUAACUGGAGGACCGAACCGACUAAUGUUGAAAAAUUAGCGGAUGACCUGUGGCUGGGGGUGAAAGGCCAAUCAAACCGGGAGAUAGCUGGUUCUCCCCGAAAGCUAUUUAGGUAGCGCCUCGUGAAUUCAUCUCCGGGGGUAGAGCACUGUUUCGGCUAGGGGGCCAUCCCGGCUUACCAACCCGAUGCAAACUGCGAAUACCGGAGAAUGUUAUCACGGGAGACACACGGCGGGUGCUAACGUCCGUCGUGAAGAGGGAAACAACCCAGACCGCCAGCUAAGGUCCCAAAGUCAUGGUUAAGUGGGAAACGAUGUGGGAAGGCCCAGACAGCCAGGAUGUUGGCUUAGAAGCAGCCAUCAUUUAAAGAAAGCGUAAUAGCUCACUGGUCGAGUCGGCCUGCGCGGAAGAUGUAACGGGGCUAAACCAUGCACCGAAGCUGCGGCAGCGA
rnacentral:rRNA from 1 species